rnacentral:rRNA from 1 species
UACGGAGGGUGCGAGCGUUGUCCGGAAUCACUGGGCGUAAAGGGCGCGUAGGUGGCGCGGCAAGUCAACGGUGAAAGCUCGACGCUCAACGUCGAGUCGGCCGUCGAUACUGCCGCGCUGGAGCACUGUAGAGGCUCAUGGAAUUCCGGGUGUAGCGGUGGAAUGCGUAGAGAUCCGGAAGAACAUCGGUGGCGAAGGCGGUGAGCUGGGCAGUUGCUGACACUGAGGCGCGACAGCGUGGGGAGCAAACAGG